rnacentral:rRNA from 1 species
UACGUAGGGCGCAAGCGUUGUCCGGAAUUAUUGGGCGUAAAGAGCUCGUAGGCGGUCCGUUACGUCGGGAGUGAAAACCCGGGGCUCAACCCCGGGCUUGCUUUCGAUACGGGCAGACUAGAGUAUGGCAGGGGAGACUGGAAUUCCUGGUGUAGCGGUGAAAUGCGCAGAUAUCAGGAGGAACACCGGUGGCGAAGGCGGGUCUCUGGGCCAUUACUGACGCUGAGGAGCGAAAGCGUGGGGAGCAAACAGG